rnacentral:rRNA from 1 species
AAUGCUUAGGAAUCUGCCUAUUAGUGGGGGACAACAUUCCGAAAGGAAUGCUAAUACCGCAUACGCCCUACGGGGGAAAGCAGGGGAUCUUCGGACCUUGCGCUAAUAGAUGAGCCUAAGUCAGAUUAGCUAGUUGGUGGGGUAAAGGCCUACCAAGGCGACGAUCUGUAGCGGGUCUGAGAGGAUGAUCCGCCACACUGGGACUGAGACACGGCCCAGACUCCUACGGGAGGCAGCAGAGGGGAAUAUUGGACAAUGGGCGAAAGCCUGAUCCAGCCAUGCCGCGUGUGUGAAGAAGGCCUUUUGGUUGUAAAGCACUUUAAGCGAGGAGGAGGCUACCGAGAUUAAUACUCUUGGAUAGUGGACGUUACUCGCAGAAUAAGCACCGGCUAACUCUGUGCCAGCAGCCGCGGUAAUACAGAGGGUGCGAGCGUUAAUCGGAUUUACUGGGCGUAAAGCGUGCGUAGGCGGCUUUUUAAGUCGGAUGUGAAAUCCCUGAGCUUAACUUAGGAAUUGCAUUCGAUACUGGGAAGCUAGAGUAUGGGAGAGGAUGGUAGAAUUCCAGGUGUAGCGGUGAAAUGCGUAGAGAUCUGGAGG